rnacentral:tRNA from 1 species
UUUUGAAUAUUUUAAGAAUAAAGAAAUAUAAAUUGUAAAUUUAUAAGUAAAAAGUUAAAGAAAUUUUUUUUCAAAAA